UACAGAGGUCUCAAGCGUUGUUCGGAUUCAUUGGGCGUAAAGGGUGCGUAGGCGGCGCGGUAAGUCGGGGUGUGAAAUUUCGAGGCUUAACUUCGAAACUUGCAUUCGAUACUGCCGUGCUUGAGGACUGGAGAGGAGACUGGAAUUUACGGUGUAGCGGUGAAAUGCGUAGAUAUCGUAAGGAAGACCAGUGGCGAAGGCGGGUCUCUGGA
rnacentral:rRNA from 1 species